GACGAACGCUGGCGGUGUGCUUAACACAUGCAAGUCGAGCGGUAAGGCCUUUCGGGGUACCCGAGCGGCGAACGGGUGAGUAACACGUGGGUGAUCUGCCCUGCACUUCGGGAUAAGCCUGGGAAACUGGGUCUAAUACCGGAUAUGACCUCCUAUCGCAUGGUGGGUGGUGGAAAGAUUUAUCGGUGCAGGAUGGGCCCGCGGCCUAUCAGCUUGUUGGUGGGGUAAUGGCCUACCAGGGCGACGACGGGUAGCCGACCUGAGAGGGUGACCGGCCACACUGGGACUGAGACACGGCCCAGACUCCUACGGGAGGCAGCAGUGGGGAAUAUUGCACAAUGGGCGAAAGCCUGAUGCAGCGACGCCGCGUGAGGGAUGACGGCCUUCGGGUUGUAAACCUCUUUCAGCAGGGACGAAGCGCAAGUGACGGUACCUGCAGAAGAAGCACCGGCUAACUACGUG
rnacentral:rRNA from 1 species